AUUUCCACCAAAGCGGAGCGGAGAAGAGCGCAGCUGUGCUGAGACGAGAGGAGAUGCGUGAGCUGUGCGUAGCUGUUAGCUGUCAGUCUAUUGCUAUCUAUGAAAUACCGCACCGCUCCGCACAACUCCACACCGCACCGCAAGGCAGCGUCAAAUUCUAUAGAAAAUCAAGUGCACCUGAUUCUUCUCCUUUUGAUUCAUUUCCAUCGAAGCGGAGGGGAGUGAAGAUGUGCAAAUAAGGGAAUCUGAUUGGAUUCAAAAAACUUCUCUGCUCCACUCCGCCUUAGUGUAAACCGGGCCUUAGAGGAUGAACAAGAGGUGGCAUUUUGAGCAUUCAUGCUCUUUCAAUAUUCUUUAUUACUUUAGCGUAUGUGAAGGUACAUAGAAGGUUAGUUCAAUGUCGAAAUUCAACUUUCAAAGAUGGUACGGAACUCUGUUUUAAUUUUCUUUUGUUCGGUUUAUACGUAAAAUUAUUUACAG